UACGAAGGGGGCUAGCGUUGUUCGGAAUUACUGGGCGUAAAGCGCGCGCAGGCGGCUAUCCAAGUCAGUGGUGAAAGCCCGGAGCUCAACUCCGGAACUGCCAUUGAAACUGUUUAGCUUGAGGAUGAGAGAGGUGAGUGGAAUUCCCAGUGUAGAGGUGAAAUUCGUAGAUAUUGGGAAGAACACCGGUGGCGAAGGCGGGUCUCUGGGCCGUAACUGACGCUGAGGAGCGAAAGCAUGGGGAGCGAACAGG
rnacentral:rRNA from 1 species